GAAGCAUUCUGCCAAUUCUAAAACAUAGUGUUAUUAGCAAUUAUAAUGACAAAGAACAUGAGUGAGACUAUGUAAAUAGGAUUGCUUAUGGAUAAAUCCACAUCCUUAUAAAUGUCAAAGGACAGCUCACUGUGAGGAUGGACUUGUUGCGAGGAAUGAUAAAAUUAUUGCAAAUUUCUUUCAAGGGAGGAGCUUCCACAGAUCUGGGCUUCCUGCAGCACCAUGAGAAGAGCUUCUCCCCUGUAAAUGGCCACUCUCACUUGUGGGUCCAUGACUAGCUGAACUGAACCCAUUCCACAGUAAGGACCCAAGCCCAGCAGAUCUGCAGCCAAAACCAAAGUUGCUCAGUGGGACCCAUGCCACAUAAGCCGACCCAUGGCCAACCUGAAAAUAAAUUUUCAGCCAAGACAUUCUUUUGCAGCCUAAGAGGGUUAUUAUGGAGAGGUGGAAAGAUCUUCAAACCUGGAAGGCUUGCUUCAAACCCCAGCUCUACUCCAACUACAGGAUUGGGGCAGAGGCUGGAAGAGCUAAAAUGUUCAUUUCUCAGCCUCUCCUUCUGCCAGCAAUAAGACACUGGGAGGUCUGUUGAUGUGGCAGAUGGCGGUGGCAUGCCCUGUGUCCCAUGCCCACAGUCUAAUCACCUCUGACUUCAGUCACAGCUGUGGUGGACAGUUCCGUGUGUUCCAAUUCACCUCAUGCAAGACAGCAUCCAGUCUCAAGUAUGUGCUGUGCAUCUUUCUGCUCUCUGCUCCAGGGCCUUCUCUGACACUAUGGAAGCCCACUGGGCCUGCAUAAAAACAAAACUUGGAAGUGUGAGAUUCAUGCCCUUGGGAUCGACCCUUAAUCGAUGGGGAACACGGCCUAGUGGAUAGAUGCUCCAGCCACCUGUCCUUUGGGGGCACACUUCUGGGAGGCAUUGUGUACAGUUAUCAGGAGGUCUGGGUGCAAUUGAGCCUCUAGGGCCCCAGGCAGUAACCUUUUUAAUAUGCCUUUAUAUUGUCAUUUUCGUCUUUACUCUCUCAUUCUCCUUGCUUCCUCUUGCGCAUACAGGGAUCAGUUACCAAAUAAACUAUGUGCACUCAAAGUUUUUGUUUGGGGCUCUGCUUUUGAAGCUACUUAAACUAAAAGAACUGGCAUCACCUCUCUGUCUUCUAUCUUGACUGCAAAUACAGAUAUGAUGGCUGGAGCUAAGCAGCCCUUUUGGGAUCAGCCAUAUACCAUGGCUAUAUGUGAGUGAGUGUGAGAGGGAGAACAAUUUAGGUGGCGGGGGAUGGUGGUGACUCCACACUGAUUGCCUGGGAUGGGAGAGUUUCCCUUGGUUUCUCUAGGCUCCUCUGUUUCU
rnacentral:lncRNA from 10 species